UACGUAGGGGGCGAGCGUUGUCCGGAUUUAUUGGGCGUAAAGAGCGUGUAGGCGGUUCGGUAAGUCUGUCGUGAAAUCCCCGGGCUUAACCUGGGAAUGGCGAUGGAGACUGCGAGGCUAGAGUUUGGCAGAGGGGGGUAGAAUUCCACGUGUAGCAGUGAAAUGCGUAGAGAUGUGGAGGAACACCGAUGGCGAAGGCAGCCCCCUGGGUCAAAACUGACGCUCAUGCACGAAAGCGUGGGGAGCAAACAGG
rnacentral:rRNA from 1 species